GGGAGGGGACACUCUCCUGGGAGCAGCUCCCUGCUUGGCAGGCGCACCUUAACCUGGAGAGCUGGGUGCACAGGCAGGAGCCUCCGGGCCUGGAUAGCCAGUGAGCCUGGCAGGGUGGUGGGGACACAGAUGGACGUCCCCAGCAGGGAUGGUGCGGGUGGAGGGAGGAGCGCCCGGCAGGUCCCUGCUGUCUGGGUCUGCUCUGGUGGUGGCUGCGGGUGAGCGCCUGUGGACUGGUGGCGUGGCACUGGGCUGCUCGGCCGUGUGUUUCUGAUUCCUCGAGGCCUCCCCAGCGCGGUGUGUGUGCAAGCCCCCCACGGCCUUGUCACCAACCGGCAUGUUCCAUGGGAGUGGGUGUGUGUGUGCCUGCACCUGUGUGUUUACUGGUUCCUUCACGCUGCUGCUCCCCACCCCGCCCCGGCCAGAAGAUUCUCACCACAGGCCUGUUGUGACUGUCCUGUCCUUGCCAUGCCCAGAGCCUGGAACAGUGCAGGGAACAGAGAUGGUGCUCAGUACACAUUUGACAUGUGAAUGAAUGAGUGUGUGUGGAGAAGCCUUCGAAUCUCAGGGUUCUACCUCUACCUUGACCGAUGGAGACACUGGGCUUCACUGUGGGCACAGGGGGGUCGGGGUGAGGGUCUACCCAGGGCCAACUGUAUGGCACCUGCCCCACCCCAGCCAGGACUGCCUGGCACCAAGCGGGGCUCCUGCUGUCAGGAUGCUCUAGGUGGGGUGUGGCCUCAGCCACCGGGCAUGCAGGGGGCAAGGGUGGGUCACCACACGCCCUGGGCAGAAGCCCUGGGCCUUCACACUCCACUCUGCCGCUGGGCCCCUGUGGGACGCUGGCAGCUUGGCCUCCCCAGCACUGCCCUGGACCCACCCCACUAGGCUGGGAAGGAACUCCCUCUGGGAACCCCUUGGGCUCAGAGCAGCCCCGGCUCUGCCC
rnacentral:lncRNA from 1 species